GGUGUUCAGAGCUACCUGCAUCAAGCUGUUGAUAACUGUCAAGAUCCUGCUGUGUGCACAUGAUGACAACGUUGGUGCAGUUUUUCUUCGUGUUGUUCCAAACAGAUCACAGUUCUUUGAAUAUGAGUCAGUAACUUUUUACUGUAAGGGCGUCUCUAAUUAUAAUAU